rnacentral:rRNA from 1 species
CCUACGGGUGGCAGCAGUGAGGAAUAUUGGUCAAUGGACGAGAGUCUGAACCAGCCAAGUAGCGUGAAGGAUGACUGCCCUAUGGGUUGUCAACUUCUUUUAUAUGGGAAUAAAAUGUUCCACGUGUGGGAUUUUGUAUGUACCAUAUGAAUAAGGAUCGGCUAACUCCGUGCCAGCAGCCGCGGUAAUACGGAGGAUCCGAGCGUUAUCCGGAUUUCUUGGGUUUAAAGGGAGCGUAGGUGGAUUGUUAAGUCAGUUGUGAAAGUUUGCGGCUCAACCGUAAAAUUGCAGUUGAAACUGGCAGUCUUGAGUACAGUAGAGGUGGGCGGAAUUCGUGGUGUAGCGGUGAAAUGCUUAGAUAUCACGAAGAACUCCGAGUGCGAAGGCAGCUCACUGGACUGCAACUGACACUGAGGCUCGAAAGUGUGGGUAUCAAACAGGAUUAGAUACCCCAGUAGUC